AGGAUAAACGCUGGCGGCGUGCCUAACACAUGCAAGUCGAACGCGCUUUCCUCUUCGGAGGAGAGCGAGUGGCGGACGGGUGAGUAACACAUGGGUACCUACCUCUGGGUGAGGGAUACCGGCGAGAAAAUCGCCGACAAUACCGCAUAGGCUUCUCUUCGCGAGAGGAGAAGCAAAGUUGCGCAAGCGACGCCUAGAGAUGGGCCUGUGGCCGAUUAGCUAGUUGGGGGUAACGGCUCCCAAGGCGACGAUCGGUAGCUGGUCUGAGAGGACGAUCAGCCACACUGGGAUUGAGAACGGCCCAGACUCCUACGGGGGGCAGCAGUGAGGAAUUUUCGUCAAUGGGGGCAACCCUGAACGAGCAACGCCGCGUGCAGGAAGAAGGUUUUCGGAUCGUAAACUGCUUUUCUCGGGGAAGAGAAUGGACGGUACCCGAGGAAUCAGCCCCGGCUAACUACGUGCCAGCAGCCGC
rnacentral:rRNA from 1 species